UCCCUGGUGGCUUAGUGGUAAAGAAUCUGCCUGCAGUGCAGGACACCCAGGUUUGAUUCCUGGGUUGGGAA
rnacentral:tRNA from 1 species